AAAAAAAAAAUAAAAGACCCAAAUAAAAAAAUAAAUAAAUAAAACCACCAGACAAGAGGGGAUCUGUAACAGAGCCUUUCUUUAGAUGGAGGACCUGACUGGGAGAAUGGGGAGUAGUUUUAAGAACCUGGAAGAAGCAUGCUGGGGUAACCCAGGGGGGCUUCAUGACUGGGUUCCUCUGUGUUACUCAAGAAGAUGGGCUCACCCAUGACCCACCAGAGAGGUGCCUAGGAGGCUGACUAUGGGAUUUUACCUCAGAUAGCUGGGCACUAUUUCAGCCCCACUGAGGACUCCUAACUCAUCCCAAUAAUAAUGCUCUGAGAGAAGCCACAAUCUCAGGAUUCUACACAGCAGAGAAGGGAGGGGGGUAUGGAGGAGGGGUUUCUCCAGUUUGCCCAGUGGGGCCAAAGCAAAAACAGAACCAAAUCAUGACAACAAGACUGGAUGGGGACAGGGCAGAAGUCUAGCGACAGGCUCCAACUAAGUCCUGCCAGCCGCAGCCAGCCAGAACCUGGCCGAUUCCUUACUGAUGAAGAGGGGUAGGGAUCCGAGAAGCACAUAAUAGCCUGCCCAAGUAGACUCUGAUCCUUACCCUUCCUCAUCUUCCACUUUAGCCAUGUUGUACUAAAAACUGAAGUCUGGCCCUAGCAAAGAGACUGCUGUGAUAAAGGAGAACUGGAGAGGGAAUCACAGUGUGAAUUCCCAAGGUGCACAAUUCCCUCUAUACCAUGGGGCACCCAGAAAAUCUGCAUAAGCCCUGUACUUCCAACCGGACAAAAGGUGGGGCUUCGCUCAACACACUGGGAAAAUCCACCAUGGUUUGACUUGGUUAAUUUUCAAUCUUUUCCUCUCCCCUUUGAAGUGCAAGACCUUACGUACGCAGGACUGAGUCUGGGUAUGUGGCCUGCCGGCCUUGCAUGCUGCAGCUGGGUGAUUGCUGUGAUUCUUGGCAUUAUCCUUUCAGUGGUCCUGGCUGGCGUUCUUGGCAUCUGUGUUGUCCUGGCAGUGUCCAUUUGGCUCUUCAGAAGAAAGAAGAGUAGCAAAAAAGGUGACAACAAAGGAGUCAUUUACAAACCGGCCAUCAAGAAGGAGACUGAGGCCCAUGCCUGAGGCCCCAGAACUCCCAGGCACAUCCAAGGAAGGACUUUGCUUUGGGCACUACACACUGUGGCUCCCUAGACAUUUGAAAUACCUGAGGGUUCUCUGAAGCUCAACCCACAAAUGCCCCAGACCCACGGGGGGCCUUUAGGUGGGUGCCCUGCCAUCCUGAUGCCACGGCCACUGCCCGUACGAUCUGUGGAUGGCAAGAGCUCGCCAAAGAGGCAGGAACUCUGAGCUGUCUGCUUCAGCUGUGUGAGACCAUGAGGUUGUCUGGAUUCUGGGGCCACAAACCAAGUCACCCACUGGGGGCUGUGAUUGGUCAGAAAACACUUUCAUCCAGGGAUUCACUUGAGUGUGGUUUCAAGGAUCCUGGCAAUUCUGAGUCUUGUCCAAGCUUUCAGACCAGAAUGUGCACUCUCCGCUUAGAUUUUGCUUUUGAGACUCGGUUUCUUUCCUCAGGGAAGGGAUUGUUGUCUUCCUCUGAUUUCCUUCUGCUAUGACAAAACUUUUGGUCUGACCUUACACCUGGGAGGAAGAAUGAUAUAGGAAGGGUCAAGGUGUCAAGAGACAAAAAGAAAACAAAAGAUAUUCUUUGAAACACAGUAGCGGCAUUUCCGAAGUCCUGUCCUUUGGAUCAAAUGCACUGAAUGGGCCCGAGAGAGACAGAAUGAGAAGACGCAUAAGGUCUGGAGGAACUCACGCUGGAGUCAGAACUGGAGUCAGAAGUCGUCAAGUCUAAGUGUGAGAAGGACAGAAUAUUAAGCCCAAGCCCAACCUCCUGUCAGCGGCACAGUUAUGCUUUGUACUUCACAGACUUUAUAAAUAAUUAGGCUAUUCCUUGAAAAGUGUUGUUACUUUCUCUCUCCUAGAGUAGACACGAGUUCUGAAAUGACCCAAACUGCUUUUGAAUCUAGAGAAAAUAGGCAGAAGCAAAAUGACUGAAGAGCUUUGUCUCUUGCCCAGAUUUCAUUUUGGCCACUUCUGUGGUGUCCCUACUGCCAAUCUAGAAUUGGGAUGUACCUACUUCCCUGACUUUGAGGAUGUUGAGUCAUGGCUUGGUUAAAAUCUAUUUUCAAGCUAUGAAAGCAGGAAGUUAUCUGUGCAGGGUGGGGGCAUCAUGGUAUUUAGGGACCAAUAAUAAUGGAAUGUUACAAAGAUGCUUCAUGAUCUUCUACCCAAGCCAUAGUUUCUGAGAAGACUUAACUCUUCCAUAGAUAUAAGAGUCCCUUGGAGACCAGUUAGUUCCAUGACUGGGAAGGAGCCUCCACCACCAACCUCUCAUGGCCGGCACCUUGCAGUUCACAGAGAACUUUCGAUUCCUGGUCUCAUUUUGACAACAUGGAAUGUCCUAUCAAAGCACAGGUUUCUUUAUAACAUCUUUUCCUUCUACUCCUCCCUCUCACUCUGAGAACAGUCUUCUCCCUUCUCUACCAUCAUGACUUUUUGUAGUGGUGGCAAGCCCCAUGGCUUUGUAGCUAGUUUGCUAAACAGAGGUGCAGAAGACCUAAUGAACACUCGGACGUGUGUGUGCACAGGAUCUCUGACAGCCUCGGAGCCUGGGGCGGCAUCCUCGCCUUGCCGUUAGCAUGCCUGAUGCUGAUCGAAUGACAGCAGGGACAAGCCUCAUGACAUAGCAUUGUGAAUUAGGUGAUGCUUCCGUGGCCUUGGCCCAAAGUUGCCAAUCAGAAAGCAACAUAAAUCACUCCAGAGUCCUGGGACUAUCUCUCUACCUUUUAUGGACAAAUUUUGCAAGAGAACAAAGAGACCAUUGUACCUGGCACAACAGCUGUUCAUAAAAAGGGAGAUUGACUAGGCCAUGAAAAGAGUGGCAUUUUCUCCUGCCCUGUGGCUGAGAUAAAGCAAAGCUAGGGAGGCAGGCAGAAGGCUCCAAGAAUCAACACUGUCAACUUCCUUGCUAAUCAUUAUGGGGCUCCUGGGGACCAAGCUUGGAAACUGGGAAGGCUCUCCUCAGGUUCUCACUCAUUCCACCAACACCAGUCGCCACUGAAGGAAACCAGCACUGUGGCGUGUGAAGUUCCUCUGCCUCACUCGCACCCCCUUGAAGGCCCAGGUGCUGGGCUGGGUGCACUAUGGGUAGAGAUCACAAAAACAAGGCCCAUGUGGGAAAAGGACAGGGAAGGCCCUGGCUUCUUUGUUUCUUACCAAUGGGAGAGUUUGAGUCUCUUUGUUCUGUUUCUUUAGGAUCAUCUGGUAAAAAUAGUAAAAACUUACACCUGUUUCCUUAAUAGACAUUCUAGGAUUUUACUGCAUUGAUUAUUAAUCCCAUUUCAAGUUCAGACCUUAAAUUCUUCUUCCCUUCACUAAACUCUCUGACGGCCUCCUGAGCACCACCGGGAAGCACCAGGGUCUGCAGCACCCCUCUGUCCCUGUGCCUCGGAUGGACCAUAGGCCACUAUGAUGAUGGUCUGUUUAGCACUUCUGUAUUUAUUGUAAGAAUGACUGUAAUGAAGACAUAAACUAUAAAUAUGAGAAAUCAUAAAUAAAAUGUUUUUCACAUCAGA